CAUCGAUGAAGAACGCAG
rnacentral:rRNA from 1 species